AGUGAACGCUGGCGGUAGGCCUAACACAUGCAAGUCGAACGGCAGCACAGUAAGGGCUUGCUCUUACGGGUGGCGAGUGGCGGACGGGUGAGGAAUACAUCGGAAUCUACUUUUUCGUGGGGGAUAACGUAGGGAAACUUACGCUAAUACCGCAUACGACCUACGGGUGAAAGCAGGGGAUAUUCGGACCUUGCGCGAUUGAAUGAGCCGAUGUCGGAUUAGCUAGUUGGCGGGGUAAAGGCACACCAAGGCGACGAUCCGUAGCUGGUCUGAGAGGAUGAUCAGCCACACUGGAACUGAGACACGGUCCAGACUCCUACGGGAGGCAGCAGUGGGGAAUAUUGGACAAUGGGCGCAAGCCUGAUCCAGCCAUACCGCGUGGGUGAAGAAGGCCUUCGGGUUGUAAAGCCCUUUUGUUGGGAAAGAAAAGCAGCAGGUUAAUACCCCGCUGUUCUGACGGUACCCAAAGAAUAAGCACCGGCUAACUUCGUG
rnacentral:rRNA from 1 species